rnacentral:rRNA from 1 species
UACGUAGGGGGCGAGCGUUGUCCGGAUUCAUUGGGCGUAAAGCGCUUUAAGGCGGUUCGCUAAGUCGGGUGUGAAACCUCCAGGCUCAACCUGGAGACGCCACUCGAUACUGGCGUGACUAGAGUUCGGUAGGGGACCACGGAAUUCCUGGUGUAGCGGUGAAAGUGCGCAGAUAUCAGGAGGAACACCAGUGGCGAAGGCGGUGGUCUGGGCCGAUACUGACGCUGUAGAGCGAAAGCGUGGGGAGCGAACAGG